UACGUAGGGUGCAAGCGUCGUCCGGAAUUAUUGGGCGUAAAGAGCUCGUAGGCGGUCUGUUGCGUCGGCUGUGAAAACCCGGGGCUCAACUCCGGGCCUGCAGCCGAUACGGGCAGACUAGAGUUCGGCAGGGGAGACUGGAAUUCCUGGUGUAGCGGUGAAAUGCGCAGAUAUCAGGAGGAACACCGGUGGCGAAGGCGAGUCUCUGGGCCGAUACUGACGCUGAGGAGCGAAAGCGUGGGGAGCGAACAGG
rnacentral:rRNA from 1 species